ensembl:lncRNA
AUGAUGAGAUUAGUUCAGGUAGCCAUAUAUUUGAAUAACCACACUCAACUCUGUUCUAAACACUGUAUUGAUGCAAAACAUCCCCUGUACUAUUCAGAAAUAGCAGCCGAAGAGGAGUUGCUGCAGGCUCAGUUGUCUGAGAUGGAGCAGCAUUUGGCUGAGCAGGAGUGUUCCCAGAGGGAGCUCAGGGCCAAUCUGCAGCACAAGGGGGCGCAGGCGGUGGCGCUGCAGGUGCGGCUGCGGGAUGAGGAACGCCGCUUUUUGGAAGAACUGAAAAGACGCAGUCACAAAAUCACUGCCCUGAGCCGCGACCUCCGCAAGCAAACAGACAUUGCUGCCCAACUCGCUUUCCAACUGCACUCAGCACGCUUCCGCCUCUACCACCAGACUGAUGAGGAGGAGGAGGAUGAAGGGGACACACAGGAACCGGGCUGUUCUGGUAGUUCUCCCCAGGCUUCACCUAUCAGAGCAGAAGUGAGACACCGCAGUCAUUCCUCAGUGCGGAUAAGGAGGUCGGAGCGAGCAAGGGAGUGUGUGCCACGUGAAAGAGUGCUGGGGCCGGAAGAGCCCCGGUCUAUGCCCGACCCUGCUCUAUUCCUGUACCCCUUCAGACACAGGCUCCUGCCUCUGCACACGUCACUGGGUGGACGCUGGAGGGAAGGGGGGCUAACAGAGAGGUCAGAUGGUCGAAGGGGUAGACUAAGGACACGAUCAAUGAGAGAUAAUACUGGACCAGAGACUACAGAAUUAUAGGGCCACAUUAAGAUAAAUGAUCCUGCUAUUAAAAGACGUGUGAGUUACACUAUAUUUCAGUUGUACAUUAUCAGUACCAGUCUGUUCUAAAAUGUCGGUCUACAACGACCAUAUCUAUGGCAACCUGAUUAACCCAGAAAACAAAUCAAAUUUAUGUGUAAUCAUACACUACUUACUGCACCUUGUAUUACCCACUCGUAUAUAUCAACUUUAUUUAUGAUAUGGAAAAAUGCUGCAAAACAAAGGGAUAACAUUUUGUGUAGUUAUACCUUGGAUAAACAGUACCCUCUUGAGUGUUAGAUUACCUGUUAUUUUCAUACUUUUACUCACAAUCAGAGUUGGAUUUGGUAUCAUGUGACCAAAAGACUGAAUUUAAUAUGAUGAAUUAAGUGAUGAUUUAAAUAAAGAUUUUUGCUUAUGCAAGCUUAGAGAAUAUAUGGACCAGAUGAAAUUUUAAUUUGAUAUUUGGACAUUAAAGGGGGGGAGGUUGUCCACUAGUGUUCUAAUUUGGUGCCAGAAGUAGGUUAGUCCAAUAAUACUGGCCAAUUAAAUAAAUAAGCAUAGGCCCAAACGAACUAAGUAGUCAGUGCUUCCCUCCAAGCAUACCAACCUGUUCAGUUGUACUGAGUUGCAUAAGCAUUAAAAUCUAAUAUAAAGGAAAUAGUUUUAAAUAUCACACUCAUUCACAUGAAGACAAACAGCAGCUGAUCUUUUGAUUGUCUAGUUAACAGUAGACAUAAUAUGGUGUAUAUAGUUUUAAGACCACAGACUAAAAGAGGACCUAAGAUGACUGACAUAUUUAUGGGUCUUGUAAACUUGUCACAGAAACACAUAGAUGCUGUAAACUGGAACCACACUGUCGAAGUUUACUGUCAGUUUUUUUCCAGCUUAAUAAGCUGAACAAGUAAUGUGGUGUGUUAUCUAAGACACGUUAAUAAAAUUACUCUUAUUUGUUAUUUCUUUG